GAUGAACGCUGGCGGCGUGCCUAAUACAUGCAAGUCGAGCGAACGGACGAGAAGCUUGCUUCUCUGAUGUUAGCGGCGGACGGGUGAGUAACACGUGGAUAACCUACCUAUAAGACUGGGAUAACUUCGGGAAACCGGAGCUAAUACCGGAUAAUAUUUUGAACCGCAUGGUUCAAAAGUGAAAGACGGUCUUGCUGUCACUUAUAGAUGGAUCCGCGCUGCAUUAGCUAGUUGGUAAGGUAACGGCUUACCAAGGCAACGAUGCAUAGCCGACCUGAGAGGGUGAUCGGCCACACUGGAACUGAGACACGGUCCAGACUCCUACGGGAGGCAGCAGUAGGGAAUCUUCCGCAAUGGGCGAAAGCCUGACGGAGCAACGCCGCGUGAGUGAUGAAGGUCUUCGGAUCGUAAAACUCUGUUAUUAGGGAAGAACAUAUGUGUAAGUAACUGUGCACAUCUUGACGGUACCUAAUCAGAAAGCCACGGCUAACUACGUGCCAGCAGCCGCGGUAAUACGUAGGUGGCAAGCGUUAUCCGGAAUUAUUGGGCGUAAAGCGCGCGUAGGCGGUUUUUUAAGUCUGAUGUGAAAGCCCACGGCUCAACCGUGGAGGGUCAUUGGAAACUGGAAAACUUGAGUGCAGAAGAGGAAAGUGGAAUUCCAUGUGUAGCGGUGAAAUGCGCAGAGAUAUGGAGGAACACCAGUGGCGAAGGCGACUUUCUGGUCUGCAACUGACGCUGAUGUGCGAAAGCGUGGGGAUCGAACAGGAUUAGAUACCCUGGUAGUCCACGCCGUAAACGAUGAGUGCUAAGUGUUAGGGGGUUUCCGCCCCUUAGUGCUGCAGCUAACGCAUUAAGCACUCCGCCUGGGGAGUACGACCGCAAGGUUGAAACUCAAAGGAAUUGACGGGGACCCGCACAAGCGGUGGAGCAUGUGGUUUAAUUCGAAGCAACGCGAAGAACCUUACCAAAUCUUGACAUCCUUUGACAACUCUAGAGAUAGAGCCUUCCCCUUCGGGGGACAAAGUGACAGGUGGUGCAUGGUUGUCGUCAGCUCGUGUCGUGAGAUGUUGGGUUAAGUCCCGCAACGAGCGCAACCCUUAAGCUUAGUUGCCAUCAUUAAGUUGGGCACUCUAAGUUGACUGCCGGUGACAAACCGGAGGAAGGUGGGGAUGACGUCAAAUCAUCAUGCCCCUUAUGAUUUGGGCUACACACGUGCUACAAUGGACAAUACAAAGGGCAGCGAAACCGCGAGGUCAAGCAAAUCCCAUAAAGUUGUUCUCAGUUCGGAUUGUAGUCUGCAACUCGACUACAUGAAGCUGGAAUCGCUAGUAAUCGUAGAUCAGCAUGCUACGGUGAAUACGUUCCCGGGUCU
rnacentral:rRNA from 1 species